GGUAAGGACGCGGCAGGAGGCUGGGUAAUAGGGGGUGGGGGGGGGUUGUCCGGAAUCAGUGUGCGGAGAGCGCGGGUAGGAGGUUCGGUAAGUCUGCUGGGAAAGUCCAGGGCUCAACCCUGGGAGGCCGGUGGAUACUGUCGGGCUAGAGUGCGGAAGAGGCGAGUGGAAUUCCCGGUGUAGCGGUGAAAUGCGCAGAUAUCGGGAGGAACACCAAUUGCGAAGGCAGCUCGCUGGGACGUAACUGACGCUGAGACGCGAAAGCGUGGGGAGCAAACAGGAUUAGAUACCCGAGUAGUC
rnacentral:rRNA from 1 species